AGCUAAUAGAUACCCGGGUAGUCCACGCCCUAAACGAUGUCUACUAGUUGUUGGUGGAGUAAAAUCCAUGAGUAAACGCAGCUAAACGCGUGAAGUAGACCGCCUGGGGAGUACGGUCGCAAGAUUAAAACUCAAAGGAAUUGGCGGGGGCCCGCACAAGCGGUGGAUUAUGUGGAUUAAAUUCGAUGCAACGCGAAAAACCUUACCUGGCCUUGACAUGCCACUAACGAAGCAGAGAUGCAUUAGGUGCCCGUAAGGGAAAGUGGACACAGGUGCUGCAUGGCUGUCGUCAGCUCGUGUCGUGAGAUGUUGGGUUAAGUCCCGCAACGAGCGCAACCCUUGCCAUUAAUUGCCAUCAUUUAGUUGGGCACUUUAAUGGGACUGCCGGUGACAAACCGGAGGAAGGUGGGGAUGGCGUCAAGUCCUCAUGGCCCUUACUGGCCAGGGCGUUCACACGUAAUACAAUGGUCGGUACAGAGAGUUGCCAACCCGCGAGGGGAGGCGUAAUCUCAGAAAGCCGAUCGUAGUCCGGAUUGUUCU
rnacentral:rRNA from 1 species